rnacentral:rRNA from 1 species
UGGGGAAUAUUGCGCAAUGGGGGAAACCCUGACGCAGCAACGCCGCGUGAAGGAAGAAGGUUUUCGGAUUGUAAACUUCUUUUAAGAGGGACGAAGAAUGACGGUACCUCUUGAAUAAGCCACGGCUAACUACGUGCCAGCAGCCGCGGUAAUACGUAGGUGGCAAGCGUUGUCCGGAUUUACUGGGUGUAAAGGGCGAGUAGGCGGGAUAUCAAGUCAGAUGUGAAAUCUGGGGGCGCAACCCCCAAACUGCAUUUGAAACUGAUGUUCUUGAGUGAUGGAGAGGCAGGCGGAAUUCCCGGUGUAGCGGUGGAAUGCGUAGAUAUCGGGAGGAACACCAGUGGCGAAGGCGGCCUGCUGGACAUUAACUGACGCUGAGGGACGAAAGCGUGGGGAGCAAACA